UACGAGGGAUCCUAGCGUUGUUCGGAAUCAUUGGGCGUAAAGGGUGCGUAGGUGGCGCGCUAAGUCAGGUGUGAAAUUUCGGAGCUCAACUCCGAAACUGCAUUUGAUACUGGCGUGCUUGAGGACUGGAGAGGAGACUGGAAUUCACGGUGUAGCAGUGAAAGUGCGUAGAUAUCGCGAGGAAGACCAGUGGCGAAGGCGGGUCUCUGGGCCGUAACUGACGCUGAGGAGCGAAAGCGUGGGGAGCGAACAGG
rnacentral:rRNA from 1 species